GGAGGGGGAUGGGGCCUGGUGGUCCUCCCAGUCUUCAAAACUGGUGACGGGCCUGGAGGGUCCGUGGUGGGUUCGAUUCCCACACCCCUCCGCCA
rnacentral:tRNA from 1 species